rfam:Helianthus annuus linkage group 15, whole genome shotgun sequence.
GAGGGCCAUCCCAUGGAGGAUGGUUGUGGAUCACAUGAAAACUCCACAGUUAAGCGUGCUCGGUUGGAAGCAGUAUAAAGAUGGGUGACUUCCUGGGAAAUCUUCACCGGGUCAACC